rnacentral:rRNA from 1 species
CGACUACAUUAGAUACCCCGGUAGUCCCAGCCGUAAACUAUGCUCGCUAGGUGUCAGGCAUGGCGCGACCGUGUCUGGUGCCGCAGGGAAGCCGUGAAGCGAGCCACCUGGGAAGUACGGCCGCAAGGCUGAAACUUAAAGGAAUUGGCGGGGGAGCACAACAACGGGUGGAGCCUGCGGUUUAAUUGGACUCAACGCCGGACAACUCACCGGGGACGACAGCAAUAUGUAGGCCAGGCUGAAGACCUUGCCUGAAUCGCUG